GAUGAACGCUGGCGGCGUGCCUAAUACAUGCAAGUCGAGCGAACGGACGAGAAGCUUGCUUCUCUGAUGUUAGCGGCGGACGGGUGAGUAACACGUGGAUAACCUACCUAUAAGACUGGGAUAACUUCGGGAAACCGGAGCUAAUACCGGAUGAUAUUUUGAACCGCAUGGUUCAAAAGUGAAAGACGGUCUUGCUGUCACUUAUAGAUGGAUCCGCGCUGCAUUAGCUAGUUGGUAAGGUAACGGCUUACCAAGGCAACGAUGCAUAGCCGACCUGAGAGGGUGAUCGGACACACUGGAACUGAGACACGGUCCAGACUCCUACGGGAGGCAGCAGUAGGGAAUCUUCCACAAUGGGCGAAAGCCUGACGGAGCAACGCCGCGUGAGUGAUGAAGGUCUUCGGAUCGUAAAACUCUGUUAUUAGGGAAGAACAUAUGUGUAAGUAACUGUGCACAUCUUGACGGUACCUAAUCAGAAAGCCACGGCUAACUACGUG
rnacentral:rRNA from 1 species